AACAACAUGCAACUUUUAAGUAUAUCUCAUGUUUAUAGACAAUAAAGUGUAUCUGAAAUUCCCAUUUUACUGGGCAUCUUGUAUUUUACCAGGAAAUUCUUAGCUAAACAGAAUUGAACCCAGGUAUAUGGUUGCCAAGCCAUACCUCUCAGAGCCCCAUCUGAAUGGAGAAGGGCUUGUGGAUUUUUCUUUCUUUCUUUCUUUUUAAUUCAAUGAAUUUUAUUAUAAUUAUAGUUGCACAACCAUCAUCACAACCUAAUUUUAGAACAUUUCCCUCCCAAACCCCUAGUCUAUCCCUCCCCCCACAACCUGUCUCCAUUGGUGAUCAUAGGUUUUUCAAAGUCUGAGAGUCUGUUUCUGUUCUGCAAAUAAGUUCAUUGUAUCCUUUUUUAAGAUUCCACAUAUUAGUGAUAUCAUAUGAUGUUUGUGUCUCACUGUCUGACUAAUUUACUUAGCAUGGUAAUUUCUAGGUCCAUCCAUAUUGCCACAAAUGACAUUAUUUCAUUAUUUCUAUGGCUGAAUAUUAUUCCAUUGUAUAUAUGUACCACAUCUUUAUUCAUUCCUCUGUGGAUGGACAUUUAGGUUGCUUCCAAGUAUUGGUUAUUAUAAAUAGUGCUGCAGUGAACACUGGGGUACAUGUAUCUUUUUGAAUUAUGGUUUUCUCUGGAUAGAGGCCCAGGAGUGGAUUUUUCUUUUUUUCCUUUUUUUUCCUUUUCUUUUUUGGCCACACCUGCAGUAUAUGGAAGUUCCUGGGUCAGGGAUUGAAUCCGAGCUACAGCUGUCACCUACCUGGUGGUAGUUGCAGCAACACCAGAUCCUUCACUCACUGGGCUACAGCGGAACUCCCGGUACAGAAGGGCUCCAUCCUGGCCCAAACCACCCAACUUCCUGGCCGUCCCUCCAUCCCUCCCCUCGAUCUCACUUGGGUAUGUGUGGUUCGGCAUGUGCAGCGCUCUCCUGAAUGCAGGAGGCAUCCUCUGGUGUGUCAUGAAUGGCUAUUUAAGAAGAAAAUGGAGGGGCAAUUCUGUCCCAUAGCUUUUUCUGAUGUGAGGCCCCCUUUCAAGAGGGGCACAGGGACUCACAGUAAAAGGAUGGGGAAGAAAUUGCUCUCAUCUGAGUUGGUCCUUCUGAGCCCUUCGAACAGAAAGGUAAGCAUUUCUUCACCAAAGAAGGACAAGUCAGUGACAUUUUCUCAUUUUGCUGCAUGUGAUAUUCACACUGAUUCCAAUUAUGUGCAGUGUGACUUCCAGAGUUCAGCUUCAAAGGGCCACAGGUUUUCUGCUCAAUUGGAUGGAGGCAUUUUAAAUCAUUCCCACCUCCUGGCACCAGAGUCAUUGUUUUCUUUAUAGCUAACUUUCCUCUUUUUUUCUCCUAGCACAGCACAAAAGGUGGGAGGUUACUUUAAAGGAAGGCAUUUAUUUUUAACAAUAAACCAAGAUCAGGGGAGAAGGUAGAAUCAGACAGAAAGUUCCUAUAAAAUGAAAAAGAAAAAAAACCCACAAAGAUAUUUCACUAAAGAAAAAGAUUCUGCAGAGGAAAUGAGGCGUCGUUGGCUUAAAAAUACAAGAUGUACAAACUAAAACAAAUAUUUUCUAUUUCUGAGGUGAGUCCACAUUUCUAGGCUUUUAGCCCUUGAUUUGCUAUUAAGAACUUGCAAGAAGCAUGCCUGUGAUUUGAUGAAUGUAGGUUCCCCUCUCUCCCCUUUUGCAGCAUAUGUGAAAUUCUUCACCGAGUGCUCUUGGGUGUGUUGCAUAAGGUCAUGCAUGACUUGUGAGAACUUCAGGUUUAACCCUCAUGUUUUGUGGUGGCUGGGGACUAACAUCUUGAGUGAAGCUUUUCAUAAGGAAAUUGAGGGAAAAGGUCUAGGGAUUUAAAGGAGUUUGUGUGUGUGUGGGUGUGUGCGCGACUGUGUAUCUGUAAGUGUGUGUGUGUGUGUGUCUUUGGGAGGAGGGGAGGAAAAGAUUUCUGGAGUCUAGUAUUUCUUUCCUGUGUAAGAAGACAAUGCAUAAGCUCAGCAUGGCAAUAAUUUCAGCCCCUCCUUUUCUUUCUUUGCCUCCACUCACCCUGAACUUGCUACCUGAGCUCAGGAUGCCCCUGGCCCUUAGGACGCCACCUGCUUCAGGUGCCAAGUAAGUCGGAGCUCCUCUCCUGAAAAUGCAGAGGGAGGCCUUGGAGGCAGAUGGGUCUUCACCAUGUUUCUUCUCUGUAAUGCAGCAGUCGCCUGUUCCCUGCUUUCCCCAGGGCUCUGAGAGGCCCCUCCCAGCUGAGGUGAAUGAGAGAGAGAGACAGACAGACAGACAGAGAAGAAGAUCCUUUUAAACCUCCACAAGAGUGUUCUCAGGAUGUGGUCUAACAGCCUUCACCAUGGGGUUUGUUACAUUUUCAGAAGCCUCACUGAAGACCUCCUUUACCGGGACCUCUGUGGGUGGAGCCCAGAAGUCUGUGUUUUUACCACCGCCCCCAGAGCUGUGUAGGCGCUGCAGCACUACCACCGCUGAUCCAGACAAAUCAGUGUUCUGGAGAGAGGUGAGGACCUAGGCUCAGAGCCCUAGGUCACGUCCCAGCUGGGCCCCCGCUCCCCUCACUGGCACCAGAAAGCCCUGUACAGCCUCCCAGCCUUGCGGUGGCACCUUGGUUGUUGGUCAGCUGCUAAGCGUUUCCAUGGCUCGCAUAUGCUGCCACGUGGAAGCAUGUUUCAGGCAGCAGGGACUGAGUGAGGGCUGUGGGUGAUCACUAGCCUGACAACUUAGGAACGGGUGAUUCAGGGGGCUCUGCUGCAUCCAUCCCUCUGGCCCCAGUCUCCGAAGGGAAAUUAUUUAAGGUUUGUUUAGGAAGCUGGUUUAUUUCUAAAGCACCCACUGUGAACAAAUGCUGUGCCAGCAGGAAGAAGCAAACACAGUAAUGAACAUGCUGAGAGUUCCCAUCAUAGUGCAGGGGAAAUGAAUCUGACUAGUACCCAUGUGGAUGAAGGUUUGAUCCCUGGUCUUGCCCAGUGGGUUGGGGAUCUGGCAUUGCCAUGAGUUGUGGUGUAGGUCGCAGACCCUGAUUGGAUCCCACACUGCUAUGGCUGUGGUAUAGGCUGGCAGCUGUAGCUCUGAUUGGACCCCUAGCCUGGGAAACUCCAUAUGCCUCAGAUGUGGCCCUAAAAAG
rnacentral:lncRNA from 1 species